ACUUAAAUUGAAGAGUUUGAUCAUGGCUCAGAUUGAACGCUGGCGGCAGGCCUAACACAUGCAAGUCGAGCGGUAGCACAGAGAGCUUGCUCUCGGGUGACGAGCGGCGGACGGGUGAGUAAUGUCUGGGAAACUGCCUGAUGGAGGGGGAUAACUACUGGAAACGGUAGCUAAUACCGCAUAAUGUCGCAAGACCAAAGUGGGGGACCUUCGGGCCUCAUGCCAUCAGAUGUGCCCAGAUGGGAUUAGCUAGUAGGUGGGGUAACGGCUCACCUAGGCGACGAUCCCUAGCUGGUCUGAGAGGAUGACCAGCCACACUGGAACUGAGACACGGUCCAGACUCCUACGGGAGGCAGCAGUGGGGAAUAUUGCACAAUGGGCGCAAGCCUGAUGCAGCCAUGCCGCGUGU
rnacentral:rRNA from 1 species